AUUCAAUUAUAUGUAGAUAUUAGUUAAGUCAAUGAUAACCAAGCUACUGUCCAUAGAACCACUAAGAUUAGAUAUAGAGUUGGGGUAUAAGGGGGAUAGAAAGCUCUCGUUAGGAAAAGAAAACAGAAUAGUUAUAGAUGGAUGAGGUGGGGGCUAGAACAGGAGAAUCAAGUGGGAAGAGGUAGGGAAUAUGGGGGAGACAAUUAAAAUUAGUAUGGAAACCAAAUACAAUAGAAGCUUCCUACAAUAAAUAAAUAUAUAAAGAUGAUCUAAAUAUAAUAGCCAAAUAAUGGGGGAGACAGAGUCCCAGCCAGGUACCUUGUCACCAAAUGAAGCUUCUGGUACUAGGACUGGGUUACACCUAAUUGAAUUGUUGGCCAAAGACGUCUCAUCCCCAAACAACUGAGUCUGUUGCCAAGACUAUGGGUUGCUCUCCAGAAACUAACUCCAAAGCCCCACUGCUGAACUCACUGAACAUGGAGAAACAAGCUAGCGCCCACGUAGAGCCUUCACCCCUAUGGUUUAGUGCCUUUGGUACAGGAAGGAAAGUACUCUACAUGCCACCAAAAGAGAAACAUCAAGCCAGCCACAAAUCCUCUGAUCUACAGUGGCGUCCUGCCUCCAAAAUAUGCUAGGGCAGUGGUGACAACAAAGCUCAUGGAAUAACUGACCAACAUCUCAUCUGACUUAAAGCUCCCUCUCUGAGAUGGAACCUAUACCCAACAUUGCUUGUGGUGACCAACAGCAAGAAACUAGAUAAUCCAGGGACCUGGGUGAGAACAAAUACCACUCUUCAUAAAGGGGGAGGCAGUAAAAUGACUCCUAAUGACAUACUGCUAUACUCCUAGAUCAGUUCAGCUUUUAUCAAGAGUUUUCUCCUGUAGCAGAAUGUGAAUACUGAGACCCACAGCUGGACACUGUGCAGAGUGACUGUGAUGGUUUGUAUAUUCUUGGGCCAGGGAAUGGCACCAUUUGGAGGUGUGGCCUUGUUGGAAUAGAUGGGUCACUGUGGGCGUGGGCUUAAGAUCCUCACCCUAGUUGCCUGGAAGUCAGUCUUCCACUAGCAGCCUUUGGAUGAAGACAUAGAACUCUAAGCUCUGCCUGCACCAUGCCUGCCUGGAUACUGCCAUGCUCCUACCUUGAUGAUAAUGGACUUAACCUCUGAACCUGUAAGCCAGCCCCAAUCAAAUGUUGUUUUUAUAAGACUUGCCUUGGUCAUGGUGUCUGUUCACAGCAGUAAAACCCUAACUAAGACAGUGACAAACCUCGAACACUCAGCUCUAAAUGUGGUGCCUCCCAUCAAACCCUUCCCCUCAGGGCUUAGGGACCCCACACCCCAAAGAGGAGGUGGAAAGAGUGUAAGAGCCACAGGGGAUGAAGGACACUAAAAAACAAGACCCUCUACAUGAACUCAACAAAGCUCAUAGGAACUCAUGAGAGGCUGGGGCUUCAUGCCCAGGGCCCACGCAGGAGUUCAACAGGUCCUCCACUAAGUUACAGCUUCCAGUUUAGUGUUUUUAUGGGAUCCCUGAGGAUUCAAACAAGCAGGUCUCUGACUCGUAUGUCUUCUCUUGGUGUCUUUGCUGUUUGUCUUGUCCAAUUUUGAUUUGAUGGUUUUAUUUAGCUUAUAUUUUAUUUUGUUCGAUUUUAUUAUAACCCCUUAGAAGCCUGUUUGUUUUCUAAUUGAGACAGAAAGGGAGUGGAUUCGGAUGGGAAGGGAGGUGGGGAGGAACUGGAAGGGGUGGAGGAAGUGGAUACCACAGUCGGAAUAUAUUAUGUGAAGAGAAAAAGAUGUAUUUUCAACAAAAUAAUUCAACAGCACCAGCUACUUUUCCAGAGGACGCAAAUUCAGCUCCUAGCACACUCCCUCCCACCAGGCAGCUCACAGGCGGCUGCAACUCCGGCUCCAAAUAACGCACACACAUAAACAAAAAUAAAUCUUGACUUAAUCCCAGCACUUGGCAGAGGCCAACAGAUCCCUGAGUUCCAGGCCAGAAAGGGCUACAUAGCGAGAGACCCUCCCCCUCCCCACUACUCCAGUUCUUUAAAAAAGAAAAAAAAAAAAAGAAAAAAAGAAAAAAAAGUUACUAAAAACAAAACAGUUCUGUGUUUCUAAGGAAUGGUUACAUAAGGGAAUUUGCGUCCAAUCGUGUACCAAAGCUUAUAAAUACUUGAGUUGUCUGAAUUUUGGUGAACAGCUGUCCAUUUUUAAUAAAUAAGAUUUAAAGUUCUAGUUUGAUCUGCCCCGCCAAAAAAAAAAAGCCAAAGCCAAAGGUGAAAAGCCAAAGCCAGAGGUGGUGCCCAGCAAAUCGACGGGCGGCGAGCGAUGUGGCCCCGCAGGUCCCGGGUGGGGCGGGUCCCCCGAAGCCCGGAGGAACCCCGGCGGGGGCUGCUUUUUAACUGACGAGGUCAGAAAGCCUUGAAGGGUUGGUGGAUGCUCCUGACGAGGAGACGGGCGGAUGGAAAGGGGCGGCCCGGGAAGGCUUGGGGACCAAUGGCGGGACGAGUCCUCCCCGAACCUGAGGGCUCAACCGCCCACACCGAGAGUGAGGGGCCAAGAGGCCGCGCCUCAGGGCGGGGAGAGGGGCAGUGCCAACAACGCCUGGGCACCUCUGCAGCCCAACAGUCGCCCACGCGCAAAGUGGUCCCUUCAGCAUCACCACCCUCUCGAGCCGCGCUGGAAACCCCUCUGCCUGCCACACAACCCCAGAGAGGACUUUGCCAACCCGAGCUUCCCUUACCUGCGGCCUCCAGCCUCGACCGAACACCUGCGGCACCCCACGCUGACAAGCUGGAACCCCCGCGGCGGUCUGGGCGCACCCACCCGGAUGCAUAAAAGCCGUAGCCACUUCCGGCCCAGUGGCUGGCCAGGAGGAUACAACCCCCGUGGUGUGUGCCUAUGGGCCGCGCCAUUUUGUACGGAAGCCGCUAGGGCAGCAUUUCCUCCCCAGGUUCUCGGUUAAAGGAUGGGGAAGGAGGGUUAUAAUUGCGAAGACUUAAUGUCUUCAGAAAAGUGGUGUUUUCUGAGAUGCCGCUUCGUCUUUUGGUUUUGGCUUUGAAGGAAGAAGCCUAUUGAACUUUCGCUCACAAAUGCAACACAGGACAUUUUUUCUCUUUUACCCAGGAUGCCAGAAGAGGGCGUUGAGCCCCUGGAAAAGAUUUAUAGAGCCGGCGUGGAUUUCUGAGUUCGAGGCCAGCCUGGUCUACAGAGAAAUCACUAAGGGAUUGAGGUGAAGAUGACAAGGAGACAAGAAACUCUAAGACUUUAUACAAAAUUCUUUGGAGGAGUUGAAAUAGAUAAAGAACUCCAAAUCCAGCUUUGCAAGAAGGCAACACAAGGCUACUUCUGGAUCUGCUGGAGCUGGAGGGCAAAGAGUGGCCAGAUGACAUGUAGCCACAGACAUGUAGACCACAGAAGAAAUAUCACCACAGGAGAGUUAAAGGACUGAACUGCUGCGUAAGAAGAUGGAGCUUCCCCCAAAGAACUAUUGUUGAACAGGAAAUCAGACAUGACAAAGGGAGACCUCCUGAAGACUUUGGCAACAGAGAAGAAAAGGGAGACUAAUCAACAAAAUAGGUGAUGUAUAUGUGGUGAUGUUUAUUUGGUACAAAUUUCUCAUCACUUGUUAUUACAUACCGUCCUUUAUGAGGGCAAGUACACAAAGUUAUAUUGCAGUUUGAUUAUAUGAUCAAAUAAAUAUGAAGAAAGGCAGUCACCUUUAUUGAUCUUCAUUGACCAAUUUUUGCACUCUACACUCUCCAUGUGAAUGGAGAUUUUUUGGUAAAUGUCUUUACAAAACUGUAUGUUGCUUUUAAGUUUUGUAUACUGUAGGAUGAAAGAAGAUAAAGACAGCCCUGAAGAGAUUCACACUCCGGGAUGCUGAGAUUCUGGAACCAUCCAUUCCAGCUUAGUGCUACCUCAAUGACAUCGAAGCUGCUGCUUUCAGAGACUUGCUUCCAGAAAUUUUCCAGAACUGCUAGCUUGCCUAUCCAGUCUUUCAGACUGUCAUAGUCAAGAUGUUAACUAAGCAAUGAACUUUCUCAGCACACAGUGACUGGAAGGCAAAUGAUGCCAGCUAGCUCUCCUUUGACAAAGCCAACUUUCCCAUUUCCCUUUGGGUCCACAGAAGGGAAUUCUUCACCCCGAUUUCAACUGGAAGCAGACAAAAGAGGAGCAUCGUCCCAGUCCCUUAUGUUGGGGUGGAUGGUUCUGGUUAUGUUAUGAAUUAUAGAUAUGUUAUCAUUUAA